GUGGGGAAGGCUGGGACGAAGAAUUUGGAUUUUAUGCUGUUGGCAAUGGGGAUCCUUAAGAGAAAUGCAAGCAGUUCAAGGAUGAAGUCAGAACACCUGCCACUAACAAAGUGUGUACCUUUGGAAAGUUAUUGUUUCUCUAGGGGACUCCGUUUCUGUAUCUAUAAAUCAGAGAUAUUACCCACUUCCCAGUUUGCUGUGGGGCCUUGCUGACAGAGGAGGAAUGACUGAUUCGUGACUGUGGAGCAGAGAGCUGUAAGAGAAGGAUGUGUGUAUUGGAAAGCUUAAGCUUUCCUACCUGAUCCCCUAGGUGAGCAGUACCUGAUCCCACUUUCUGAAAAGUGGGCGGUUUCUUCGCACUGCCCCUCCGUCUUUCUCCCCUCCCCGGCCCCACACCUCCACCCUCUCUUCCCUCUUCCCUCUUUAUCUUCCUUCUUGGGAACAGAUGACAUAUCCAGCAGAUAUGGAGUGGAGCUCAAUAAAUAGGACUGACAGGCCUAAGAUUCAAUCCUCAAAUCAGGGAAAGAAUCUGAGCUCUGCAUCCAGAUUAAAGGGCUGUAGGACUUUCUUGGUGGUGCCGUGGUUAAGAAUCCGCCUGCCAGUGCAGGGGACACGGGUUCAAGCCCUGGUCCGGGAAGAUCCCACAUGCCACGGAGCAGCUAAGCCCGUGUGCCACAACUACUGAGCCUGCGCUCUAGAGCCCUCGCGCUACAACUACUUAAGCCCGCAAUAAGGGAAGCAGCCACCGUAAUGGGAAGCCCGUGCACCACAACGAAGAGUAGCCCCCGCUCACCGCAACUAGAGAAAGCCCGCGUGCAGCAACGAAGACCCAACGCAGCCAAAAAUAAAUAAAUAUAUAUAUUUUUAAAGGGCUGUAAAUAUUUUUGUAAUUCUAACAGAACUUUGCCCUGUUCUGCAAUCUUAGCGCUUGCUCCGUGCUGACUUCAUCCCCUCCCAUGAAGAUAUGGUCUGUAAUCCUCGCUCUAGUCCUGCACACUUCCUUCUACCCGAGGCGUUCGCUAGGUGAAUUAAUUUCCAGUCUUUGGUAAAGGGAAGGCUUCUGCGCCCCCUGGUGGUCAGAAAUGGAAACGAAAUUUAAUCUGUCCUUCACAAGACGGGCUUUCCAUGAAGGGACAGUAGCUAUGGAACCACAGAACGAUUGCUGACACAUAGCCAGGAGGACUGAGUUUGAGACACAGUUUCUGCCACAAAACAGCUGUCACUUGACAUCACACAAUCUAUUCUCUCAUCUGUGAGGAAUCCAGGUGCAGUUUAGCUGGGUGCCUCUGCCUCAAGACUGCAAUUAAGGUGUUGGCUGGAGGCUGCGUCUCAUCUCAUGGCUUGACUGGGAAAGGAUCUGCUUCCAAAGUCACUCACAUGGUUGCCAGCAAGAUUCAGUUCUUCAAGGGCUGUACUUCACCCUGUGGGCCUCUUCAUAGGGCAGCUCACAACAUGGCAGCUGAAUUCCAUCAGCCCAAGCAGGUGAGAGGGAUAGAGAAAGAGAGAGAAAAGCCCAAGUGUUUCUAUAACCUAAUCUCGGCUGUGACAUCACUUUUGCCAUACUGUAUCGAUUAAAAGAGAAGCCCUAGGGCUUCCCUGGUGGCGCAGUGGUUGAGAGUCCGCCUGCCGAUGCAGGGGACACGGGUUCGUGCCCCGGUCUGGGAAGAUCCCACAUGCUGCGGAGCAACUAGGCCCGUGAGCCAUGGCUGCUGAGCCUGCGCGUCCGGAGCCUGUGCUCCGCAACGGGAGAGGCCACAACAGUGAGAGGCCCACAUACCGCAAAAAAAAAAAAAAAAAAAGAGAGAGAGAGAAGUCCUAGGUUCAGCCCAUACUCAAGGCCAGGAGAUUACAUAAGGGGAUGAAGACGGAGAGCCAUCUCAGCAGCUGCCUAGGACACAAUUCAAAUCCCAAGUUCAUGCCAGAGUUACGCUCUUUCACCUCAGAGCUCUCUUCUCCCCUGUAUCUGAACUGGACAACUCUGACCCAUUCUAGGAUUGUGUCCCUCACACAUGCUUCCCUGACAGCCUGGACUUGAAGAUAGCCCUACCACACUGUGUAACCUGGUGUACCUCCUGUACCUUCCAUGAGCUCCGUGAGGUCAGCAGCCUUGUCUUUCCUUUUCACUAAUGCGAACCCAGACCCCAGCCUCGGCCCCAAAACGUCAUUGUAGGCACUCAGUUAGGGUUUACCAAAUUAAUUAAAUGAAGCUUCUUGUCAUAUGGCUCCAUUAUGUCUUUCUUCUGAUUAAAACUCAUCAGUGGCUCCUUAUUACAAGAUUAAGGAGUCCAGACUCUUCUUGGAAUGGCAUUCAAGCCCUUGCGCAGUCUGGCCCCAGCCCAAGGUACUGUCACUCCCUGACACACACAGCCCCACCUUCAGCCUCCUCAAACACCCACCUCUUCCCUGCAUCUAACAUGCCCAGGAUUUCCCACCCAUCUCUGCCUGAUUUGUCCUUUUUCCAUUUCAUGUCUGACAAAUCCCUACUCCCCCUUCAAGACCGAGGCCUUCUCCAGUUCACGUCUCCUUGGCCCUCUGCCCUCCCACCCCAAACAGUACUUGUUCAGAUCUAUUUUAAAAGCAGGGCUUCGCUGGUGGCGCAGUGGUUGAGAGUCCACCUGCUGCUGCAGGGGACAUGGGUUCGUGCCCCGGUUCGGGAAGAUCCCACAUGCCACAGAGCGGCUGGGCCCCUGAGCCAUGGCCGCUGAGCCUGCACGUCCGGAGCCUGUGCUCCGCAACAGGAGAGGCCACAACAGUGAGAGGCCCGCAUACCACACACAAAAAAAAUGAAGCAAACCCUGGGUUGUCUUAUACCUCGUUGCUUACAUAUCUGUUGAGAGCAACGACCAGGUAUUAUGUUAUUCACCUUCCAGGGGUACUGUGAGGUAGGUGCACUGCAAUUAUUUGGAGGAUAAAUCAAGGAAUAGUUGACUACUGUUCUUAUGUAGUGUGUGACUACACAUACACACACACACACACACACACACACACACACACACACUCCCUAGGGAUUCUCCUCUCCUCUCCUUAAGGAGGAAAGAAGAUCCUUCCUGGAUCUUAAAACUAAAUGCAGUUGCAACUCCCUGUGUCACUGAACUGUGUGUUUAAAACAAUGUAUUUUAAAGACAUAGAG